rnacentral:rRNA from 1 species
GAUGAACGCUGGCGGCGUGCCUAAUACAUGCAAGUCGAGCGAACAGACGAGGAGCUUGCUCCUCUGACGUUAGCGGCGGACGGGUGAGUAACACGUGGAUAACCUACCUAUAAGACUGGGAUAACUUCGGGAAACCGGAGCUAAUACCGGAUAAUAUAUUGAACCGCAUGGUUCAAUAGUGAAAGACGGUUUUGCUGUCACUUAUAGAUGGAUCCGCGCCGCAUUAGCUAGUUGGUAAGGUAACGGCUUACCAAGGCGACGAUGCGUAGCCGACCUGAGAGGGUGAUCGGCCACACUGGAACUGAGACACGGUCCAGACUCCUACGGGAGGCAGCAGUAGGGAAUCUUCCGCAAUGGGCGAAAGCCUGACGGAGCAACGCCGCGUGAGUGAUGAAGGUCUUCGGAUCGUAAAACUCUGUUAUUAGGGAAGAACAAAUGUGUAAGUAACUAUGCACGUCUUGAUGGUACCUAAUCAGAAAGCCACGGCUAACUACAUG